AUUGAACGCUGGCGGCAGGCCUAACACAUGCAAGUCGAGCGGAUGAAGGGAGCUUGCUCCUGGAUUCAGCGGCGGACGGGUGAGUAAUGCCUAGGAAUCUGCCUGGUAGUGGGGGAUAACGUCCGGAAACGGGCGCUAAUACCGCAUACGUCCUGAGGGAGAAAGUGGGGGAUCUUCGGACCUCACGCUAUCAGAUGAGCCUAGGUCGGAUUAGCUAGUUGGUGGGGUAAAGGCCUACCAAGGCGACGAUCCGUAACUGGUCUGAGAGGAUGAUCAGUCACACUGGAACUGAGAUACGGUCCAGACUCCUACGGGAGGCAGCAGUGGGGAAUAUUGGACAAUGGGCGAAAGCCUGAUCCAGCCAUGCCGCGUGUGUGAAGAAGGUCUUCGGAUUGUAAAGCACUUUAAGUUGGGAGGAAGGGCAGUAAGUUAAUACCUUGCUGUUUUGACGUUACCAACAGAAUGAGCACCGGCUAACUUCGUG
rnacentral:rRNA from 1 species